CCCCGUGCCUCCCCCUGCUCCAUCAUUUCGCAGAUUUUUUUCUACUCAAAACCUCAGGGGCUGCCCACAGCCUGCUGGAGCAUUGCCAGCUCCUCAGCCUGAAGACAACUUUUGGCCUUUCUCCCCAGCACUGCUCCCACAAGGCUUCUGUGAUGAAGCCUCCCAGGCUCCUUGUCCUCACCCCCACCCAGCCCAGGCACCCCCGCAGCCCUGGAACCCUCCCCAGGCACCCAUCGCUGCCCACCUUGCCCAACACCGUCUGCGCCGGUGCCCUUGGCAGAGGUGUCCCAGGAAGGAGAUGGGGCUCCCAGGGAGGCCGAUGAGCUCGGUGCAGGCUGAGUUUUGUUUGAGGGACUCAGGGCAUCCAGGAGGCCACAUCUGUAUUUCCUUUCUGGGCUGGGAGCUCCCAGAGGGCAGAGUCCACGGUUGGCUCAGGUUGGCUCAUCCCUGCACGCACUCAGUUGACAUCUGCCAAGUAAACAAGUGAGGGGCAAAUCAAUGGCCCGAGGCCUGUGCUGGGGGAUUCAGGAAAGGGAUUGAGGAAUCUGAGCGAAGGGUCGGUCCUGUCUCGGCAGUGUGCCAGGCAGAGGGGCCGGCAGGACAGCAGGAGCUCCAGCCUCCCCACCCCCACCCUGCUGGUGGGUUUCACCCUCUCCCUUCAGCAGGAGAGAGGCCCAAGCAAAGCAUUUCAGAGGAGCUGGUCCAACAGCCUGCAUGACACAAGCAGGAGCAGGAGGGAGAAGCCGAAACCCUCUUCCUCUGAGCCAUCUCAUUCUUCAUGCUCUCCAGAUCCAAACAGGGACCCUGGGAAGGACCCAAUGCCUCCUCGGCUCCUUCAGGAAAAGCCCAGCACAAACCAUCCCAUCCUGAGCUCUGCAGUGGACCCACAGGCAAAGCCACCCAUUCUGUGGACCUACAAGGUUCAGUGUGCUAGGACUUCCUCCACGCCUGGGUGACUGCGGCCCCUGGGGGGUCCUCCAGGUAAGACAGGUAAGUACCAAGCCAGGCUGGCUCAGGGACUUCUGGGAAGUUUCGCUGACUUCCCUUAUUAUGGAAGCAGGAGGGCACUGAGAUGGGGGGAAGGGGCUUGUCUGCCACCUUUGUGGAGCUACUCAUUUGAACAGGGGCCGGGGAUGUUUCAUCAGGCUAAGCCAGCUUGAACUGCCUCCAAGCCCUGCUUUCCCGGUAACAACAGCAUCUGCUGAAAGCAGAAGGCAUUGUCAGAACAGACUGAAGGCCCAUGCCUGCAAGUUCAAAGUGGUCUGUCCCCAGAGGUCUCAUCUAAGAUGACAUCUUCUCGGGACUGGUGUUUUGUGACUCUUGGGGAGUCCCCAGUGGGAGCUGGGCGCACUGAUGCUGUGGACCAAGGACGGUGCUUUGGUCCGUAUGGGCCCGCCCCUCAGCAAGCAUGGAGGCUUCAUAAGGACCCCGUGUCAGAUUGACUAUCUGACUGCACCUCAGUCACAGCAGGAGGCUAAAAUGCUCCAAGGUCAAAGAGAAUCCGGGGAGGCUUGGGCCCUGAAGGGGAGCCGGUGCAGGUUCAAGCAGUCCCUUGCCUGGGAGUGCACUGCAAUCCCAGAUCUUCAAGGGGAGGCCCCCUACAAACCCCAGGUAAGAACCAGGUUGUGACCUUGGGUGGGUGGAGGGAGGGAUUACGAUGGGAUUUCUGCUUCCCACCUGCUUCCUGGGGCUCUCAGCUCCCUUCUUCCCUCUCCUCCCUUCAGGUCCUGGCUCUGCCUCCCCACGGAUCCAGGGAUCCAGCCAGCUGAGCCCUGGAGGGGUGCACCCACCUUCCCCCCCUGCUCUCCUGCCGGAGGAGAGCUGCAGUCUCCUUUGGAUCUUUUUGCGGUCUGGGCUUGCUGUUCCUCUCAACAGUAGUCAGGAAGCCCUUACCCCAAAAAGUAUCUGCGGGAGACCUUGUCUACAGGGGUGAUGCCCCCCCAAAGGGUCCAGGUGUGUCACAGACGAGGGACAGCAACAAGUGGGAGUCAUCAACCUAGCUUUCCCUUAGAGCUGCUGGUUGGCCUCAGGAAAAACGCUGAGCCUCUCUGUGCCUCACUGCUCUGCUACACAUUUAAUCAUUUAUCUGUGCACAGUGUCUAGUGGGAGGUUCCAUCAGGUAAGGAAAAAACAAGAGUGGCUCGGUUAAAGGUGUGGACACUGUGUUGGUGGCUUAGCUCCCAGCCUGCUGUCUCCUAUUGGUAGACCAUCUAUCUCCCUCUGGGCUCCUUUUGGGGAAUUGCCUCUCCCACCCCAUGGGCACACCUGGUGAGAUUGUCACUCAGAGCACCUUGCCUUGUCCUGCCCCCUCUGAUAGGAGACCCAAGACAGGCCUGGGAAUUGGAAUCCUGGAUGGAGGGACGCAAGACGGGGAACAAACUGAUCCCGGCAGCUGUGCUAAAGAGAAGACUGAGCUUGGGCCUUCUGCGUCCCCUGAACUGCCUAGCGUCCGCCCUUUCUUAGCCUGGACCUUCAAGUGCCCCCCUCCUGAAUCUGGCGAACCACCCCCAAAUCCUUCCAAUAAAAUCCUCAUGGCUUUA